CGAAGCAACCGUUGAUGGAAGACCCGGGCCGAAGCUGAAACCCUAAACCCAGACUCAGGGCCGAGGAAGCGUUGAUGGCCGAAGCAGGAAGGCGAGCUUACGAACUAUGACAGAGCGCGACAGAGCUUGAGCGGCGACGAGAGCUUGAGGCAGCGACGAGCUUGAGGGGGCGACGCGAGCUUGAGGGAGAGAGUGGCGAGAGAAGAGAGAGGUGAGAUGGGUUCUGAUUCUGGGUUAGGGCACCACGCAAAGGGGGUAAGUGAGGGAGAGAACCAAGGUUCUGAAAACCGGACCGGUUAUCAAACCGCUUUAGUCACUGGUUCACUGGUUCAUUGGUCUAACCGGUCCAAC
rnacentral:lncRNA from 1 species